rnacentral:rRNA from 1 species
UGAGCAAUCUGCCCUUCUCAUCGGAAUAAGCGUUGGAAACGACGUCUAAUGCCGAAUACGACCUCCUUUCGCAUGAUCGGAGGUGGAAAGCUCCGGCGGAGAAGGAUGAGCUCGCGGCCUAUCAGCUAGUUGGUGUGGGUAAUGGCCCACCAAGGCGACGACGGGUAGCCGGCCUGAGGAGGGUCGACCGGCCACACUGGGACUGAGACACGGCCCAGACCUCCGUACGGGAGCAG